rnacentral:lncRNA from 1 species
CUUGCUGGGGCACUCGUGCCCUAACUAGUUUUGGGGCUUUGAUUGGCAAAAGCGGUUUUCGCCUUCUAGCCAGCAGUUGCCGGAUUAGCCUUCGGACUUUCCUUACCCGCCUUUAUUGAGAAAGAAGAGAUCUAAAGGUUGGACAUCCAUCGCUGCCGUGAUGACGCGGUUGAAUGUUCAUUCGAUCCAACACCCGGCCGAUCAAACCUAUCCUUGGGUUCGAUCCAGCAAGUGAUUCCCUCCCCGAAAGAGGGAUAGUCGUUAGGUCAUGAAUGGAAUGCGAGGAAGAGAGAUAAGCAGUUGGCGGGGACCAUCCGUUAUCGGUCCAUAUUGGGUAGAUCUACCCCUCUCAUCCUCUGAUCCUUUAUCUACCGUUCAAUCUAUUGAUUUUAUUUCUUCUCGACUGGCCUAUUACGCACUCGGGCCAAUCUACUACACGCUAAUAAUGGUCUUUUGAAUUUCAUCUCCUACAAAAAUAGCAAGUGGUUGGCCGUUCGAUCGAGUCCAUCCCUUGAAGUCGUACCCUCCCAGU